CCUACGGGAGGCAGCAGUGAGGAAUAUUGGUCAAUGGACGCAAGUCUGAACCAGCCAUGCCGCGUGCAGGAAGACGGCUCUAUGAGUUGUAAACUUCUUUUGUCAAGGGACAAAAUCAGGCUCGAGAGCCUGACCGAGGGUACUUGAAGAAAAAGCAUCGGCUAACUCCGUGCCAGCAGCCGCGGUAAUACGGAGGAUGCGAGCGUUAUCCGGAUUUAUUGGGUUUAAAGGGUGCGUAGGCGGGCUGUUAAGUCAGCGGUAAAAGCCCGGGGCUCAACCCCGGCGAGCCGUUGAAACUGGCUGUCUUGAGAUGUCGAGAGGUAUGCGGAAUGCGCAGUGUAGCGGUGAAAUGCUUAGAUAUUGCGCAGAACUCCGAUUGCGAAGGCAGCAUACCGGCGGCGAUCUGACGCUGAGGCACGAAAGCGUGGGUAUCGAACAGGAUUAGAUACCCGUGUAGUC
rnacentral:rRNA from 1 species